GCCGCUUUAGCUUAGUGGCAAAGCAAUGCUUUCGUAAAGCAUGGACGCAAGUUCGAUUCUUGCAAGCGGCU
rfam:Candidatus Staskawiczbacteria bacterium RIFCSPHIGHO2_01_FTLL_39_25 rifcsphigho2_01_scaffold_1124, whole genome shotgun sequence.